GCACUCACUUUAGCAGCACAUAUUCUAAAAUUGGAACCAUCGAUGCAGAGAAGAUUAGCAUGGCCCCUGAACAAUGAUAAAAUGCAAAUUCAUGAAGUGUUCCAAGUUUAA
ensembl:snRNA U6 U6 spliceosomal RNA